rnacentral:rRNA from 1 species
CACGUAGGGGGCAAGCGUUGUUCGGAAUUACUGGGCGUAAAGGGCAUGUAGGCGGUUUUGUAAGCCUGGCGUGAAAGGCUGCAGCUUAACUGUAGCACUGCGCUGGGAACUGCGAGACUGGAGUCACGGAGAGGGAGCUAGAAUUCCAGGUGUAGGGGUGAAAUCUGUAGAUAUCUGGAAGAAUACCAAUGGCGAAGGCAAGCUUCUGGCCGAUGACUGACGCUGAGGUGCGAAAGCGUGGGUAGCAAACAGG